GGAGAGGUGGCCGAGUGGACUAAGGCGCUCGCCUCGAAAGCGAGUAGGCAGGAAACUGCCUCGUGGGUUCGAAUCCCACCCUCUCCGCCA
rnacentral:tRNA from 1 species